UCAUCGAAGUCAACGUACAGUAGGACAGUCCACACAAGCGGCAUCAACAACAACAGCAGCAGCAGGUGACGUCCCCGCGGCGUUGGUGCCAGGCUAGGUGCACUCUUAGGCCACGCGAAGUGUCGAAGGCUCGCUGACAGGAGGUCACGGGGCAGAACCCUGCAGGUGCCAUGGGGUUGACCGACUCGAGAUGGCUGCAGACGCCACCAGCUGUGCCAACUCGCCGCGUUUUAGCCGCCCGCCUCUCCGCUCGUUGUUGUGAGCGUCCCUCACGAGCCUCCUCCUCCACAGAGGCCGAUCUUGACACCGCCGGUACCGCUCAUCGGCAAGUCCACUCAGCUCCACAUCCUCCAACCAGGUGUCACAGCAGAGCUAUUGCAGAGGGAUGCUGCGAUUAUCCUGGCGUGGGCUAAGCCUAGACAGCGGCCCUCUGUCAAUCCACAGCGGAGAGUGGCGGUGGCUGUGGUGGGACUGGUGGCGGUGGCUGCUGUUGGACUGGCUGCUGUUGGACUGGCUGCUGUGGGACUGGCUGCUGUUGGACUGGCUGCUGUUGGACUGGCUGCUGUGGGACACGCGGUGGCAGCAGCUGCUGUGGUGCUGACGGCGGCUUCUAUGAGACCUGCGGCGGUGGUGGUGGUGGCUGCUGUAGGACU